CAUCCUUUUGAAUAUGUUAAAUCACUAUGAAAGCAUUUACUUUUCCUGCCAUUUAUUUCUUUAGCUUGAAAUAAUAAUGUAUAUUUCUUAUUUAAUAAGGUGUAAUCCUUCUGGAGCCACAAGAACUUUAAGCCAAGUCAAAAUGAAACACAAAAACAUUCUGCAAAAAGCUAACAGAAAGAAGACUGAAGCCUGUCUAACUGGCGGGGAGGCCACCACCACCUCCCCUCACCCCAUCUGAGGAGCUGGCUCUGUCCCUUAAUAAAGGGCGACCAGUGGUUGCUGGCAUUCCAGGGGGCAGUUCAUCACACAUACUAUGCACCACAAGUGAUGGUGAAAAAAGGGUGACAUGAUGAAGAUGAUGAUGACGAUGAAGAGACCACAUCUGCUGUGACAGAAGUGGACAAUGCUGGUAGAUCCACUGAGUACAUACCUAGGGAUUUGCCCACUGAUGAGGGUCCUUCAGCCUCAGCACACAAUCUAAGCAGGUUGCCAGCAAAGGAGCUGUAUAAGGUCCAUCUUCAAAGACAAAUAAGAAAAAGUGACAUGGAGAUGGACCUUAUACAGCUUCAAAUGGAAGAGAAAAGGCUCCUCAUUAAAAAAGCAGCACUUGAAAUAGAAUUACUUGAGAAUCGCCUUAAGGAAAUGAAGAAAUAAACUGCCUGGCAGACCAGUGCAAAAAAAACUAAUAAAAGUAAUUUUGACAAA